UCGUAACCCUCUGUUACGCAGCGGAAAAUUUGUUGUCAACAAACUUAAAUACACCAACUGGAACUUUUAUUCACGUUGAGUGCGAUUUUUCGCAAUAUUAAAGCUGGCAAAAGUGAGAAACAACACUCCGCCAGAGAUCCAAAUCACCGCCGUGCAGCUGUUGCGAAAAACAAAGGAUCUAUUGCAACCGCCACCGAAGUAAAAAAGCGAGUGACAGCAGAAGAAUAAUCUGGAUAAUCUGCACAAUAAUUGGAUGGAUCAAAUAUUCGUAAUGGGAAAAAUAAGAAAAGGAGGUCCAGCGGGCUCGAUCCAUAUGGGAGCAUUCGGUAUUCAAUCCAGAGAGGUUUCCGCCGAGCGCUGUAAAUGAUUCACUAUUCCCUAGUGGGCCUACGAUUUGAUUUUUAUAUACAUAAGAGCCUACAUUUGUAGACUAGUGCCUUAGAAAAUUGACUAACUCUUCUGGAUGAUACUAUUCAAGAUUAUUACCACAUCGUGGUUGUACAAGUUUUUAUUUUCAAUUACAAUGAUUUUAUUAAUUAACAAUUGUAUCCAAUCAUUUAAGGAUUUUGCUGUUGUAGUGGCUGCUAGAAAAACCAUCGUCCGGUACUACUGUUACUAUGUAACGGCUUUGGUCAUACGGAAGCUGAUUUUGUGUCAUUUUCGGCGACGAGUGCUACAUGAUACAAUACUAAAAACCGGACUAGAAAAUAAAUUUGCGUAAUGAUCGCGAAUUCAGGUGUCAAAUGAGAGCUGUCGGUGUGAUCAAUAUUACCGCUCGCGAGAUUUUAAUAUUUAGAUACAAUCAACGGUUUUUAAAAACAGGCAUCACGGUAUGAUUUUUAAUUCUAAUCGAAUUUCUAAUAUCAUUUACUUAAAGUGUUAUGCAUUUCAAAAAACGAGCUUGCAGUAGGUCGGCAGCUCGUAAUGGUUUUCACAAAGCACCAAUUGACGAAAAAUUCUCCACAACGAACUGAACUACUUCCCGUGUCAACUCACCACCCAAUAAUUGCUCCGCCCGGAUCUGCUUCAUUAUUUCAUGGGUACUUUAUCAGUCGAGUCUAUUUUUUCCGCUGAUGUACAACUAGAGCUAAUACAUUUAAGUCAUUUCAAUAAUUUUUCACCAUUUGCAAAUUUUUUCGCCACCGACUGAUAUGGAAAGGGCCAUUCUGUUGUUUACGCAGUAAAGUUCAGUCAGAAAAAGAGCCAGCUCCAGUGACAUGACCGCUCAUUUUCUGUCUGGACUUACUGGGUACCUGGAAACGAUUCCGCCUUUGCCGUGAAAAAAUACAAUUUUGUCAAUCACGACGAAUCCAUGCACAUCUAACAAGAAUUUUCGUAUCGUUCUCAGUACGUGGUACUUGUAACACUCUCCGGUACACGAUAUUACCCAGAGAUUUAUUACAGCAAGCCUGUAGCCUAAAACUUGAAAAGGACCGAUUCUAACGUCUGAA